AGGUCCAGCCCCAAACAAAGUGGCAUCAAGGAAGUAGAAGUUGGCCCAGUGAUAUCAGAAGAGGUACAGCCCCUAACAAAGUGGCAUCAAGGAAGUAGAAGUUGCCCCAGUGAUAUCAGAAGAGGAACAGCCCCAAACAAAGUGGCAUCAAGGAAGUAGAAGUUGACCCAGUGGUAUCAGAAGAGGUCCAGCCCCAAACAAAGUGGCAUCAAGGAAGUAGAAGUUGCCCCAGUGGUAUCAGAAGAGGUCCAGCCCCAAACAAAGUGGCAUCAAGGAAGUAGAAGUUGCCCCAGUGAUAUCAGAAGAGGUACAGCCCCUAACAAAGUGGCAUCAAGGAAGUAGAAGUUGCCCCAGUGAUAUCAGAAGAGGUACAUCCCCAAACAAAGUGGCAUCCAGGGAGUAGAAGUUGGCCCAGUGGUAUCAGAAGAGGUCCAGCCCCAAACAAAGUGGCAUCCAGGGAGUAGAAGUUGGCCCAACCCCUGCAGUAGACAAAGUGGAACAACAAGACAUUGAAGAUGAGGAGAAUCUUGCACAGAGUUAAACACUUCAACAGACACCUGAGCAUUGGCAUUCAUAUGAUCUACCUGUGAAGUUCAACCAGGCUUUAUAAAGCAUUACACACAAGGCAGCUAUGAUACACUGUGUUGUAAUUGGCCAAAAAUGCGGAUUGGUAACACCAGUCACCUAAGCCACCAUUGCCCUUGCAGACAAGAGUGUGAAGUAACAGCCCCUACAGUUUACAGCAAAGCCCUCAACUGUAGCCCUACAAACUUCAGAUACUGCCGAUGGCGUAGAUGCAGUGAACUUUGCCAGUUUUUCAGCUAUGUUGAAUUGACAUCUCCAACUGAUUUUAAGAGCCAGGAUUGAUAUCAGACUGCUUGACAGCACGGACCUCUUUCUUGGGUGGAUGGAUUCAGAGAUGACCUACAGAUGCAGCCAUGACUGUGGCACAUGAAUGUUAUAGAUGAUGACUGUAAAGAAAUGAUGAUAGC